rnacentral:ncRNA from 1 species
AAAUUUAAUCUUUUCUCUCGUAUAUUAUCGGAAAUAAGGUCCGAAAGUCUCUACCUACUCACCGUAAAUGAGUAGACUACGGGUGGCAAU